rnacentral:rRNA from 1 species
UGAGGAAUAUUGGUCAAUGGUCGCUAGACUGAACCAGCCAAGUAGCGUGCGGGAUGAAGGCCCUCCAGGUCGUAAACCGCUUUUAGACGGGGAUAAAAGGUCGCACGUGUGCGGCGUAUUGCAUGUACCGUCAGAAACAGGACCGNCUAAUUCCGUGCCAGCAGCCGCGGUAAUACGGAAGGUCCGGGCGUUAUCCGGAUUUAUUGGGUUUAAAGGGAGCGUAGGCGGACUUUCAAGUCAGUGGUAAAAUCGUGUGGCUCAACCAUACCUCGCCAUUGAAACUGGAAGUCUGGAGUGCACACAGGGGUGCCGGAAUUCAUGGUGUAGCGGUGAAAUGCUUAGAUAUCAUGAAGAACUCCGAUCGCGAAGGCAAGUGCCCGGGGUGCAACUGACGCUGAGGCUCGAAGGUGCGGGUAUCGAACAGG